rnacentral:rRNA from 1 species
AGCGAACGCUGGCGGCAGGCCUAACACAUGCAAGUCGAACGAAGCCUUCGGGCUUAGUGGCGGACGGGUGAGUAACACGUGGGAACGUACCUUUUGGUUCGGAACAACUCAGGGAAACUUGAGCUAAUACCGGAUGAGCCCUUCGGGGGAAAGAUUUAUCGCCAUUAGAGCGGCCCGCGUUAGAUUAGCUAGUUGGUGAGGUAAAGGCUCACCAAGGCUACGAUCUAUAGCUGGUCUGAGAGGAUGAUCAGCCACACUGGGACUGAGACACGGCCCAGACUCCUACGGGAGGCAGCAGUGGGGAAUCUUGCGCAAUGGGCGAAAGCCUGACGCAGCCAUGCCGCGUGAAUGAUGAAGGUCUUAGGAUUGUAAAAUUCUUUUACCAGGGACGAUAAUGACGGUACCUGGAGAAAAAGCCCCGGCUAACUUCGUGCCAGCCGCCGCAGUAAGAC